AAAAGAAAUUAAUUAUUAAUGUGGAAAUUACUAGUUUACCCUUUUGUCCAUUUGGUGUAUUAUUGUGAAUUAUUGUCACCAAUUAUUCCACAAAAGCUAGACAUCUAGAAUUUACCUAUAAUACUAUAGCAUUACUAGCCCUAAUCAUCCAUUACAAUUAUUCCAUACAAGGCUUGUUAGAUUAAAGAGAGAGAGAAAGUGUAUUAUUGCUCAAUUUUUUCUCUCUUGCUCUCACCAAAAGAAAAUCAAAUAAAGAGAGAGAGGAAGGGGUGAGUUCGGCCACUUCCAUGGAGGGAGAAGAGAGGGUCCUUUGAUGUACAAUAACUUAAAUCUCCUACUUUGGAAAGCAAAGAAAGAGGGCCAUCAAAAGCAAGAGGAUUAUAGCUAAAGGUAAAAAUUUCCUAAACUCAAAACUCUAGUUAGUUUAUGGUUGACCAAGUGUUGAACUUAUGAUUUUGAGUCAUAUGAGGGUAGGUCUACAUGAUAUAUGAUAUUUUAUGGUUAGAUCUUGCCAUUUUUAAGGUUGAUGAGCUUGAACAAAGAAGAAGAACCAAAACAGUUUUUUAAAAAAUAAUCUAGUGGACUGCUGCCCCUAAACAGAAAAUUCGGGAUUUGUUAGGUUGCUCUAAAAAUUCUGGGCUUUUGGUAUGUUAUAGUAUACUCAAUAAGCUUUCUAUAGACUCUGAAACGGACAAAAUCCGACAUCGGAGGAGAGAGUUAUGAAAUUUCUCCCAAACUACUCAAAGGGAAGAAAAACUGUUAGAGCAACAGUUUUUAACAGCCACUUCCGGGCUAAUUUCCGGGAGCUUAACAUAUCCAAAUAUGGAUUGUGAUAGAUGAAAAUUGUAUAUCGGAAAGAUAAGAAUCCAACAAAAUUGACGGAUCAUUAAUCGGAGUUAUAGAUCUCAUUUUAUUUAAGAUUUAGUAAAGGACUCCAAAACUGUUUUUGACAAAAAGUAAGCUGAUAAUAUUUUGUGAGGGCUGUUUUGUCAACUUUUCUUGUGAGGAAAAAUUCGACCUUUUGGGAAAUGAAAAUAUAUGGUAUUAAGUACCUCGUGUCCAAAAAUGAGCUCAUUCCGACUUAAAAUGACUGAGUUAUGACCAUUUUAAUUUUUGUGAUUUUCCGACGAAAACGGCUAUAACCGGAGUUCUACAACUCCGAUUGCCACGAAAUUUAAAAUGGAGCAUCACGUUAACAUAUAUAAGGUUAUGUCAAAAGAUGGGCAUCUCUGGAGUUAAGCACGAGGUAGCUAAUUUUCUUAAGUCACGCACUAAUUAUGAUUUUUGAAAAAUAGAAUUAAUGUUUUAAAAAUCAUAUAAAAAUGAUUUAAGUGUUAGAAAAAUAUUUUAAGUUAUAAAUUAUAACUUUUGAGAUUUUGGCAUGAAAAUAUUAAUAUUUUAUUAUUAAUAUCAAUUAUCGGAUAAUGAAUUUAAGUGUUUAAAAAUCACAUAAAUGUGAUUUUAAGGUAUUAAAAAUACCGUGAUAUAUUAUAAAUAUAUUAUAAUAUUAUGUUAUGAUUUUUAUUAAUAUUUAAUGAUAAAUAGAUAUUAAUGAUUAAAGAAUUAGGUGGUAUUUAAUUCAUUUAAAUACGUUAUUAAUGAUCGGAAAAUUUAGAUAAAAUAUUAAUUAUCCGAAAAUUAUUGCAAGACUAUGAAAAAUGUUUUGACUGAUAAGAAAAUUAUCUGUGAUAUCGUCAAGUGUUUAGACAGAGUUUAAUUAAACUUAGACUCGUUAAUUGUCCGACUAGACCGUCGGGAUGAUAGAGUUGUACCGAUUUCAACUCGGACUGAAAUAGUCUGACUUGAUGCUAUGUCCUAUGUGUAUAAGAGACUGAUAGGAGUAAGUGGUAAUAUGUUUAAGUUAUUUUAUAACAGAGAUGAUAUUAUUCUAAUAUUGUAGAUCUAUAUUAUUAAUAUUAGGUCUUCGGGAGAAGCUUAUUAUAUUGCAUUACGGUAAUUAACGGUUCAGGCAAGUUCUUUUUACUUAAACUCUUUUAAGAGUGGUUUCAGACAGAUAUGAUUAUGAAUUGUACUCUUUACAUAUUGCAUGUAUUCAUCAGGUAUGAAAGGCUGAUCACCUUCAUUACCAGUCGUUCCAGAUAUAAUUGUUAUGUUCAUUUUUAAUGUUCAUUCAGCUUUGAAAUUUUGUUCAUGCUAAUUCACAACUACAUUGUGAAGGAUAGCCAGCUUAUUAUUCAAACUCUUUCCAUCAUGAUAUAUCUUUACCUUGCUUUUAAACUUGCUGGGCAACUUUCAUGCUCACCCUUGCUAUAUCAUGAUAAAACAUUGCAGAUAAGGCGAAUACGGCCAGAUACAGAAAAAGGAUAAUGCCAAGUUCAGCUUGGUACAGAGUGUGAAGUUAAGUUGUAAAGUAUGUUGAAGAAUAGUAUUGUCAUGUGCUAGAUAGUUCAUGAUUGUGUAUAAGUGAAGGUUACUCGAUUCUGGGGAAAUGUGUGUAAAGUUUAAUGUAUAAAUAAUUUAUAUUUAUAUCUUCCGCAAACAGUUGUAGAAUUAGCGAACCGGAUCCGCGGCGAUUCGGGGCCGCUACAGUUAUCAUGGUAGUGAGAUCUCUCAGGGAGGGUCAUCCAUUAUUCUGAUGAUUGUGGCAGAGACACUGAGGUCAGCUACGUAUUGCCACAUCUAUCCUGCAGGGGUGUUUAUAGGCAGCUCGGUCUUGUUAUACGUGUGGUUCAUGUCACACUUGAGACUGAUUGGCACAUUCCGACGACAUGGGUAUUGUUUUUCCCAUGAGAUAGCCAUGUCUUACUCCUUUCAUCCAGCGGAGUGUGUAGACGCUGCAUCCUGGUUGGUGUUCUUGGCAGGGAUUAAAGAUCUAUUUGACAUUAUGUCGUGUUCAGGGCUUAGUUCACCCUAUAGCUUCACUACUCAUGCAUUGGGCAUAGAUUAUCUCCCUCUGGCUGGUUUGAGGGGCAUGACCACAUAUUACCCACUGGCCGUGAUGUCACAGUUUGACCAGUUUUAGGAGGUGCAUUCUUUUGAGGGGGCGUCAGGUCAGCGUUUUGCUUCUCGCCAUUUGUCAGCAGAGGAUAGAUACAUGGUGUAUGUAUGUUGGGAUCAACGUGAGAGUGCUGAGUUUUCUGUUAGCCAUCCGGGCUGUUCGACCGAGUAUUCUGCGUGGAUGGAGAUAGAGACUGCAUCGGCUGCGGUAGUAUCCACAGUGUCGGGGAUUGAGCUAGAUGGUGGAGAGCCCAUGGAGCACAAUGAUUCUCACACCGAGGAGGAUCCAUUCACUGGGUUGCUAGCGGCUCUUGCAGAUUCUCCCAGUAUGAGUGCUACUGUGAUUUAACAUUCAGCACAGUAUUUCGAGUAGAGUCUUCAUCUGAUGACCUUCGAGAGAGAUUAGGCUAGGUCCUUGAUGUUGACAGCUCUUGAUGGGAAAGACGUUGCUCUGUCAGAGAGAGAUGAGGCAUUAGCUCAUAGAGAUGCUGCUGUUGCUGAGCGGGAUGAGGCCAGAUCAUCUAGAGAUAUAAUGAUUGUGGAGUGGGAUAACACUAUAUCUGCUCGAGAUAUCGCUGUUACAGAUAGUACUGCAGUGAGGUCCCUUAUUUCUGGCAUCAUUACAGAGAUGGGCAGGUAUAUUGAUGAGCAUAGUGCCACCAUGCAUUUGGCUGUAGAUCUGUUGACUCGUAUAGAGAUCCUUGGGCAGGAGAUCACAACGUUACCUCCUUCUUCUGAGAGGGAUGCCAUGUUGGGCUUGAUAGUCCGUAUACACACCGACUUGUGGAUGGGUUGUAUUUUCCUAUUCAGACUAGCUUAGCCAUUUUGUCAUGUACAGUACACAUUGUAUAUAUCAAACAUCAUUUAUAUAUAGCAGGGAAACAUAUUUUGAUCACUUCCCUUUUAGUUAUGCCUUAUUGCAUGCUUGAUAUUUGCCUGUUUCUCCAGGGCUUGUGAUCUUGAUGUAUUCUGAACUUCUCCUCGAUGGAUGGACAUUAAGAUAUCUCAGGAUUUUUCAGAAUGGAUCAUUGAUCUGUGUGUAUUCCCUACCAUCUUUAGUAUCUUGGUACUGGUUUCUGUAUGUAGAUGAGUGUGGCUUUCCUCUCUAAGAUUGACCGCACCACAGAUGGUCGCCAAUACUCCUUUGUAUGGGGGAGCCCAGUUAGUUCCAUCUCUUAUGGAUUGGUGUUUCUCUUUGAGGAAUCAAUCACAGCUUAGAUGGUCGCCGAGUCUCCCGUUUACAUGGGGAGGUCAGGUAGUUCCAUCCCUUUGGUCUGAAGCCGAUGAAAUGUGGUGGAUUGAAGGAUGAUCCCAGUACCGUUGACAAGUUUUUGUAUUUUGGUAGGGGGUAAGCUCGAACCAUGAAUGGCUACCUACGUAGUCCUAUUGAAGAGGAGAUUAGGUCUGCGUAGCUCGAACCUAGUGUGAAGGUUCAAUGCUGUAUGUGGCAAAGGGGUGUAGAGAUGUUUUUGUUGUUUUUGUUUUUGUAGUGAGAAGGGUGUAGAAAUGUUUUUGUUGUUUUUUCUUUUAUUGCGACCGGACCAUAUAAAAUGGCUGCCUACGUACUCCCGUGUAUCAAGGAGAUCAGGUCGACGUAGUUCGCCCCAUGUUCAGGACGGAUUGCAGCCAAAAAGUUUAUUCCCAUGUACAUGAUAAACUGAAGGUGUGAAAAGUUUGAUCCCUGGUGGGACAAACUGCAAGUGUGAAAAGUCUUAUCCCUGGUGGGACAAAACUGUAGAUGUGAAAAUUCUUAUCCUUGGUGGGACAAAACUACAGGUGUGAAAUGUUUUGAGAGCGAAGUUAUGUAAAGGAUCUGCUGAUCCAGAACCAGGCUGCUGGUUGGAAAAUGUGAUUGUCCCUGAUGGGGAAAAUGGGUGAAGAAAGGUUGUAUGUGAUGAGGUUUUAGAAAACCUGAGUUGACUGGGGAUCUAAUGAUCCAUAACCAGGAUGUUUUCUUGAUGGUAACUUCAGACAUAGUACCGUUUCACGGUGUCCUAGUUAAUAAGUUGUAAAAAUCCAUCACCAUCCAUCUCUUGCAAUCUGAAAGCGCCUCCUAUCAAUACCUCCUUGACAACAAAUGGGCCUUCCCAGUUUGGGGUGAAUUUCCCUUUGGACUGAUCUUGGUUGUCAAUGAUCUUCUUCAAAACUAAGUCAUGUUGUCUAAACUGCCGUAGCCGAACUUUUCUGUUGUAGGAUCUGACGAUCCUUUGUUGAUAUAAUUGACCGUGGAAGAUAGUAGCGGUUCACCUUUCAUCUAUUAGAGACAAUUGGUGAUACCUAUCUUGUAACCUUUGGUCCUCAUCCAGCUGAGCGUCUAUCAACACUCUAAGUGAUUCCAUUUCCACCUCUAUAGGGAGCACUGUUUCCAUCCCAUAGGUUAAUGAGUAGCGGGUUGCCCUAGUGGAAGUGUGCAUUAAUGUUCUGUAGGCUAACAGAGUCAGAGGCAAGCAGUCAGGCCAUCCUUUGUGAUUGGCGGACAUCUUUUGCAUGAUCUUUUUGAUGUUUUUGUUAGUCGCUUCAACAACACCAUUCAUCUUUGGAUGGUAGAUGACGGAGUUGAGAUGUUUGAUGUGGAAUUUACUGCAUAACUCCUCCAUCAUUUUGUUGUUGAGGUUCUUAGCAUUGUCUGAUACAAUUACCUCUGGUUGUCCAUAUCGACAAAUGACAUUAUUUCUGAUGAAAGAAAUGAUAACUUCUUUUGUAACCCUAGGGAAGGAGGCUGCUUCUACCCAUUUGGUGAAGUAGUCGAUCAUGGUGAAGAUAAACUGAUACCCAUUACUGGCUUUGGGCUCGAUGGGCCCUAUCACAUCCAUUCCUCACAUUGAGAAGGGCCAGGGCGAACUCAUAUUAUGGAGCUCCCUUGGAGCGGUGUGGAUAGCAUUCCCAUGAAUUUGGCAUUGAUAACAUCUCUUGACAUGAUCAUCACAGUCAGCUUUGAGAGAGAGCCAGUAAUGCCCUGUUCUUAGGAUCUUCUUUACAAGUAGGGGGCCGCUCAUGUGUGGGAAACAUACUCCACCAUGGAUUUCAUCCAUGAGCAACUAAGCUUGGUCCUUGUCCAGACAUCUGAGGAGACCUAGUCAUGUAUCUCUUUUAUAAAGUGCAUCUUCUCUUAGGUAGAAUUUCAUAGCUAGUCGAUGGAUUCGCCUUCUUUCAUUCGGACUCGCCUCAGCGGGUGUAGAUCCAUCUUGUAAGUACUCCUUGAUAUGCUGAUACCAAGGGUGUAAGAUAUGAGGUAGCUCAUCCGAUACUUCUCCAAUAUAAUUCCCAUAGGCUGGUGCCUUUUGUUGGGAAAAUGUGAGGGUUGACAUGUUUUUCUUGUCAAGUAUGUUGAUCAAGGAGGCCAAGGUUUCUAGCGCAUCCGCAAAGUCCUUCCUAUUCCGAGGAAUGUGGAGGAAGGAUAUUUCUUCGAACUUCGAGGCCAUUUGUAGAACCUGCCGAUGGUAAGGAAGCAAAUGUAGCUCUUUGGUGUGAUAGAUUCAUGUGGUUUGUCUGAUUACCAACUCGGAAUCCCCAAAGACAGUUAACCUCCUGAUGCCCAUUGAUUGAGCAAGUUUUAGCCCCAUAAUACAGCCUUCAUACUCAGCUGUGUUGUUGGUGUUGGCAAACUAUAAUUUGACGGUGAUGGGAUGCUUCUCCCCAUAACGAAUACUAGAACUGCUCCGGCUCCAUAGCAUGCCAUGUUUACAGCUCUAUCAAAAUACAUCUUCCAUGAUUGGUGUGUAUUGUCCUGAUUGUGUUGCUAAACUGUCAUUACCCCUUCAUCGGGGAAGUAUGUCUCCAAGGGAUUGAAAUCCCCUGAAGGUGCGGCGGCCAGUUGAUCCGCAAUUCCUUGACCUUUGACAGACUUUUGCGUCAUGUAGACGAUGUCAAAUUGUUGUAGGGUCAACUACCAUCUGGACAGUCGAUAAUUUAACAUGGGUUUACUGAACACGUACUUGAGAAGAUCCACGCAGGAUAUGAGAUGGGUUGUGUGACCAUGAAGGUAAUGCUGUAACAUCAUGGAAGCCCACGCUAAAGCGCAACAAGUUUUCUCAAUCAGAGUGUACUUGUGUUCACUGCUGCUGAAUCUUUUGCUGGGGUAGUAGAUAGCUCGCUCUUGGCCUCUAUCGUCUUUCUGUCCCAGCAUGUAGCCCAUGACAUUUUCAUUGAUGGAUAGGUACAUGAACAGGGGAACAUCAUCCCUGGGUGGUACCAAAAUAGGAGCUUUGACUAGCUGCUCUUUAAUUGUAAGGAAGGACUUAUGGCACUCAUCGUUCCAUUUCACGGAGGAGUUCUUCCUUAACAACUUGAAGAUAGGCUCACAACUUAUUAUGAGUUGGGAGAUGAAUCUGCUAAUAAAAUUGAUUCUAUCCAAGAAUCCCCUUAUUUCCUUCUCUAUCUGAGGAAUGGGCAUUUCUGUAAUGGCCUUGAUUUUGGUGGGAUCCAGCUCAAUCCCCUUGUGGCUGACUAGGAAACCUAGCAACUUGCCUGAUUUGACGCCAAAGGCACACUUGGCUGGAUUCAACUUCAAGUUGUACUUACGCAACCUGUUGAAGAGCCUUCUGAGAUGGUCUAGGUGGUCUUCCUCCCUUUGGGACUUAACAAUGAUGUCAUCAACAUAGAUCUCUAUUUCCUUGUGCAUUAAGUCAUGGAAAAGAGCCAUCAUGGCUCGCUGGUAGGUAGCUCCGACAUUGAUGAGACCGAAUGACAACCGUCUAUAGCAAAAGGUUCCCCAAGGAAUGAUGAAUGCAGUUUUCUCACAAUUCUCCCCAGCAACCAUGAUUUGAUGGUACCCCGCAAAGCAAUCAGCAAAGGAGUACAUGUCGUAUUGAGCAGUAUUGUCAAUGAGUAUGUGGAUGAAUGGCACAAGAAAGCUAUCUUUGAGGCAAGCUUUAUUCAGAUCCUGGUAAUCCACGCAAACUCGCACCUUCCCUCCUGGUUUGGGCACGGGGACUAUGUUAGAUAGUCAUUCAGGGUAUGUUAACACCAUGAUGAUUCCUGCUUGAAAUUAUUUCACAAUUUCUUCUUUAACUUUUAAACUCCACUCAGUUUUUAAUCGCCUGAGCUUCUGCCUGACUGGAUUGAAUCCCUCUUUGAUGGGGAGGCGAUGAAUAACAAUGUCAGUAGACAAACCGAACAUGUCUUCAUGAGACCAUGCAAACACAUCUUGGAAUUGGGUCCAUAGAGUAACCAUGUCAUUCCUUUGUUUUGGAGUGAGGUCCGUACCAAUCUUGAUUUUUUUGGGGUUUUCUAUGGUUCUGAGGUUAAAAGAGAUGGUCUAGAUGGUCUUCCUCCCUUCGGGACUUGAUAAUGAUGUCAUCCACAUAGAUCUUAAUCUCUUUAUGCAUUAAGUUGUGGAAAAGAGCCAUCAUGGCUCGCUGAUAGGUAGCUCCGACAUUGAUGAGGCUGAAUGACAACCGUCUAUAGCAAAAGGUUCCCCAAUGAGUGAUGAAUGCAGUUUUCUCACGAUCCUCUUCAGCAACCAUGAUUUGAUGGUACCCCGCAAAGCAAUCAGCAAACGAGUACAUGUCGUAUUGAGCUGUAUUAUCAAUGAGUAUGUGGAUGAAUGACACGUGAAAGCUAUCUUUGAGGCAAACUUUAUUCAAAUCCCUAUAAUCCACGCAAACUCGCACCUUCCUUCCCGGUUUAUGCACGGGGACUAUGUUGGAUAACCAUUCAGGGUAUGUUAACACCAUGAUGAUGCCUGCUUGAAAUUAUUUCACAAUUUCUUCUUUAACUUUUAAACUCCACUCAGGUUUUAAUUACCUGAGCUUCUGCUUGACUGACUUGAAUCCCUCUUUGAUGGGGAGGCGAUGAAUAACAAUGUCAGUAGACAAACCGACCACGUCUUAAUGAGACCAUACAAACACAUCCUAGAAUUGGGCCAAUAGAGCAACCAUGCCAGUCCUUUGGUUUGGAGUGAGGUCCGUACCAAUCUGGAUUUAUUUGGGGUUUUCUAAGGUUCUGAGGUUAAAAGAGGUGGUUUGAUCAAGAUUUGGCUUGGGAUUGUCUUUGACCCAUUCUUUGAUCUCCUGAGGUAUCUCAUAGUCCUCUUGUAUUUCCACCAAGUCCGAGUCCAACUUUACAUCAAAAUUACAGUCCUUGUGGAGAAAAGGCACCUCAUUAGCAAGUAUAGGCACGUCUAACUUUAGAGUCCUGAAACAAAAUAUACUUUUACUUAAUAUAUGAAACUGUUCAAUCAUACAAAGUGUUAGCAUGUAAUGACAAAACAACUGCUAAUACUAUACAAAAAGUAAGCAGUUAUUGUUAUCUGCAGGGCAGAGGGAGUUUCUUCCCUUUUUACCAUCGUCGGCAAAUACAAUGAGUGCUGCUCCAAUUGCUAAGGGUGAAGUCCUGGUGGAUGACUGUGAUGAAGGGGCUGUUAUCGUCCUCCUUCUCCCGAAUGAUGACCAUGAUAUCUGGACAAUCAUCGUCUGGGGUGAUUCUAUUUGUACUGUCCGUAUGGACUAUGAUGCGUAUGUUUGAUAAGCGCCUGACAAUGUCCUGCUUACGCCUCUGGUCCUUUUCCUCCGCAUUCGAAUCCGGUAUCAAAAUUUCUUUUCCUUUGAUCGGUAUCGGCUGAGGAAAUAACAUGGUCAUCACAUGUGCAGGAACUUUUACUGAAGUCUGUAUAGAUUCAGGUCCUGUAGGUCGUAGAAAUCGCCGUAUGGCUGAAGAUGAAGGAACCUAUUUGUGUUUGUGAGGAUUCCUGUUGCUAGAGUUAGCGGAAUAGCCUAUUCUGGCUGUCCCUAUUUGACUGGGAACUUGAAUUGGGCGCUUGAUGCCUUGAUGGUCUUUGCCCAACCCUUGUCCAGGUUGAUAGCCCAAAGAUAACAUUUCUUGGCUUGCCGACAUUACUUCGAAGGAAACUCUGGGUAUCAGAGGUGGUGUGUAAGACCCCAAAUUAUUAAUAAAUGAAAUUUAUUUUCCUCUAUUUAUUAUUUUGAAAUAGUAAGGGUUGAUUUGAUUAAUGUGGAUAGUUAUUGGUAAAAUACGCAAAUAUUUUGAAUAAGCAAGUGGUUAUAAAAUAUUCAUUGUUGUCGGGGAAUAUUCGUUUGGUCGUGGAAUAUUCGUACUGUCGGGGAAUAUUCAUACGACGGCGCAGUCUUUUGUGGGCCCCAUAACAGAAAGCGAUUGAAUGAAGAAAACGACAAAUAUAAGUAACGGCGUAGUUGUUACCAUUAAUACUGUUGGAAUACCCGGUGGUUAAAAUACACUAAUACGCGUUGUUGAACAGUAGCACACGGUAUUGCACCAAUUAUUGAUUCUUACGUAAGAAGGCACUACUCAAUAAUUGUUACAGUAAUUACGGUUCAGUAUUUUAUUUUAUUGAUUCAAUAAUUGCUGCAUUGAUAUUUUAUAUUACUGUUGUUUCAAUAAAUUAUCAUUACACAGUAUUUUCCAUUAUCGGAGUAAUAAUUCAUAUUAUCUGAAUAAUAUUAUUGGAUAAUAUUAUUGGCAAUGUCUAGAAAUUUCUGUCUAAGGAGAGGUUUGGUAACCUAAUUGCGCGCCAGUAAGGAGAGAUCCUUAUUGGAAAGCCCCAUCUUUCCUGAGAACGGCCUGGUUGCCAGUACAGUGAUUCUGUAAUAUUAUUUAUGAAUAAUUAAUUAUUGAUUUAUAUGAUGAGGAAAAUAUUGAUUUUAUGUGGAUAUAGAUGGAGAAAAUUUUUAAUGUGACAAUUGUUGAAAAUUAAUAUUUUAUCUUUUUCUGAUAAAAUAAUUCAUUUAAAUAUAUUAUUUUAAUAAUAUAUUAACGGUGAUAUUUUUAUAAUGAAUGUGAGAUAUAUGAGUAUAUGAGGAGGAAGAGUAUUUUGGUGGCAUUAAAUAUUUAACACAUAUUUUGUGUGUUGGUAGACACAAUUAUUGACCGAAAUUUGAUUAUAGCCUGUAAAAUCGUCCGUUUAUGGAUUUCGGUCAAUUUCUGUUUGGAAUUUGGAAAAACUUUCUUCUGCAAAGUUGUAGAGAAUUGAAUUUCCUAUAAAAACUCGCCAGAUUCGAAUUUUCUGAUAAAAGGACUAUUUAUUAUGAAUUAUUGAAGUUCCAAAGUUCUGAAAUAAUUGAUUUUUGGAAGUUUUAAUUAUUUAUUUUAUGAAAAACGUUUUUUAUUAUUUUUUCUAGAAGGUUGGCAUGUGGGAAAUGUUAGGAUCUGAUUUCCAAAGAGGCGUAGGAGAAUUUAUUAUUACUAAUAUAUUAUAUUAAAUUUUCUGCUUUGGUGUUCUAAGCAAUUUUCUAUAAAUAGGGUGCUUAGGUUAGAAUUGAAAAUCACACCAGAAACUGAAGUUUUCUCUCUCUAUAUUAUCGAGCGUAUUCUUGUGAGUAUUUUGAGUAUAUUUUGAGUAUUGCUAUACGGUGCAAGUUCAAGUCAUAGCCUAUAUACGGUUUUUCAACUAGAAGUACUGUCUUUCGAGGUAAGGGAUGUUAUUUUCUUCUUAAAUGAUAUUAUUUUCUUCAAUAUUAUUAUGCCGAAAUAUUGGUGAACGUUUUUAUCAAAUUUGGAACUUUUCAUGUCGGGGUUACUAUUCAUGAGUUACUAUUCAUGAGUUACUAUUCACGAAGCAUGAUGAUAUUUUUUGUAAAAUUUCUAUCUUUUAGUGUCGAAGUUACUAUUCACGUAUACAACACUAUUCACGUAUACGGCACUAUUCACGAAUACGACACUAUUCACAGAAAAAUUAAAUUUUCUUUUAUGUGUCCAAGAUUGUCUGUUAUGAUUCCUAUCUUUGAUUGGGUCUAUGUUUUGGUCUUCAUUCUUGAAUUUUACCCCACUCUGAUUAUUUAUGAAGUAUUUUUGAACUUGGAUUGUGUAAAAUACGAAUCCUUAAUAUUUGUUCUGUUGUUUCAAUGGAUUCGUUUCCUUUAAAAUAUUUUCAUCAUCCUCAGUCCUAAAUGAUGAUAUUACUGAAUAUCUUUGGCCUGUAGUGCAAAGAUGAAUGAUUUUUUGAUGAAUAUCUUUGGCCCGUAGUGCAAAGAUGAAUAUGUGUUGAGAUGAACAUGACCGACUGAUUAAUAUCUUUGGCCCGUAGUGCAAAGAUGAACAGGUGUUUAGAUGAACAUGACCAACUGAUGAAUAUCUUUGGCCUGUAGUGCAAAGAUGAAUAUUUGAUUCCAGAUAUAUAUUGAUUGAUGUUACAGGGAUAAAAUAUCGACGAUGAACUUUUAAAUUCAUAUAUAGAAGAUAGUAGUUUGCAUUCUCUACUUAACUCUUCUAAUGAAUUAUUAUUUCCGCUGCGAAGAUUGAUUUAAAACUGGUUGUCUAUUGUAUUCUAUUAGAUUUUUCCCUGUUGAAGACUAACGAUAAUUUGUUGUAUAUUAUCUUAGUCAUAAUAUUCUUUACUGGGCUAGUUGAGCUCACCCUUUUCCUUUUUGUUCCAUUUUUCUUCUCAGGAGGCGAGAAUGUAGCGAGUACUAGUCGGGGUAUGGAAUGAAGGUUCUAGAGAGAGUUGUUUAGUAGUCCUCACCAUUUUUGUAAAAUAAUGUAUAAAUAAUUGUGAUGAGGAUUUAUUUGGGUAUGUAUAUUGUCUAGAAGAUAAUAUUUGUAUUUAAACUCACAGUAUAUAUGUUGUCGUAUUUUGCACGACAAAUGUAUUAAUAAAGUUGUAGUUAUUUUUGUACCAUGUAUUUGGCGACUCAGAAUGGGUUGGAUGGAAUGGACCUAUUUUGGGGGCGUCACAUGGUGCCCCAAGGGGAUGAUAGUGAGUGUUGCUCACCUCUAGGGCAUAGAAGCUGACAGGCUCAACUUCUGAAUUAAAAUUGACAGUGACUAGGCUAUUGUUAAUGAUGUAUUCAAGCUGCUGAUGAAAGGUGGACGGGACGCCUCCAGGCAAAUGAAUCAACGGUCUUCCCAAGAGGUUGUAUCCUGUAGCUAUUUUGAGCACAUGAAAGGAUACACAGAAUGUAUGUGGACCAAUAUCCACAUGUAGUUCAAUCUCCCCGACAGCAUUUCGUCAGGAUCCAUCGAAAGCUUUGAUAAUUGUAUGGCUUCUUCAGAAUCUGUUGAGAUUGAUAUUCAUCUUCUCCAAAGUAGCAUAAGGGCAGAUAUUCAAGGAGGACCCUCCAUCUAUCAAUACUCCUACGGCCACAUAUCCGGAGGACAUAAAUGCUAUAUGCAACGGCUUGCAAUGACCAGUCCCUUCAGGCGGUAUGUCAUCAUCAGUGAAAGAUAUCACAUUGCUGUUAAGAAUGUGAUCAACCAGGUGAUGGAACUUUUCGACAUCCACUGAUUUUGGUAAAUGAGCUUCUUCUAAAACUCUAAGUAAUACCUUCAGGUGAUCCUCUGAGGAGAUUACCAAAUCCAGUAUGGAAACCUGUUGCAGAGCUUCUUUCAAGCUUAAAACCACCUUGACUUCAUUAUGUCCCAUAGUACGGAGGAAUUGUUCAAUCUUCUCCAUGGAAACUUUCCCCUUUGAUUUGAUGGCGGGCUUUAUCACCCGUUAGGGAAGAUACAGUCGAUUCUCCUUCGACACUGAAGUAGUUGUGUGGGAUGUGGAUCCUUCAACCUCUCCAUAAUUCCAUGGAACUUUAUGUAGGCUGACAACAAGAUAUUGUGGUCUAAAUGGUAAGAUGAUUGGCUCUGGCGUAACCACUUUCAAAGGAUUCUCAACACCUUUGAGUUGAAUAGAUUGAAUUGUAUGUGCGGGGGUAGCUGAAUCUUUAUCAGAAGACAUAACCGCUACGACUUCCUUCCACUAAAUAGGAAAUGCGUCCCCACUCUCCAGUAAUACAACGUCGUUGUCUGUCAUCUGUAGGACACCGCUGUCAAUUAGAUUCUGAAUAAGGUGGCGGAGUGCCUAACAUUCUUCAGUUCUGUGACUGCGAGAAUGGGAGUGAUAUUGGCACACUCCAUUGAAAUCAAACCAUCUUGAACGCCGGCUGAUUGGAGGUAGCAGAGCUGUGAUCCUUCCUUCAUUGAUCAACAUUUGAAAUAUCUCUUCCAUCGGUUGGCCUAGGUAUGUAAAUUCCCUUUUAUUGGUGAAGUCCCGACGAGCUUUGGCAUUUGCUCUUUUUGCAAUUUUAUCCUCCAGCGUUUCAUUUUCUGGAGUACGCGGUAGAGUGUUUGUAACAAGGGGAAGGAGGCUAGCAUGCUCCUGGCUGAAUAAUUAACAUGUGACUUGGUGCUGAUGGACCACCAGUUCUGCCAAUUGGUUGACUUUCUCACACAGAGCCUUCUUUUUCAUUCCAUUAUAAACUGGAACUGUGCAUAAUCCCACUUGUCAGCACUAUCCUUGCUGGUUUGGGAAGAUCUAUCAAUGGAAUGGGACGUCUGUCCACUACUCCAAUUAAUCAUGUUAACCUCCUCUUCUUUGUGUUGAGGAAAAGGGUUGUCUUGCACAUGUGGUUGGUCGGGUUUAGUCACCACGAUCUCACCAUUGUCAAUCAAAUCCUAGAUCUUAUAUUUCAAGGCCCAACAAUCCUGAGUAUCAUGGCCUGGAGCUCCUACAUGAUAAGCACAUUUCCAGCUAGCAUUGAAACCCUUCCCAUUCGGGUUGCCUGGUGGAAGAAGAUGGGUAAUUUUCUUCUGAGUUGUCAGAAGAUUGAGAAUGUUCUCGAGCGAGUCUCCUAAGGGUGUGAACACUCGAGUGCGUCUGACUUCUCCACCUUUUGGCAAUGAAGGGUUUGAAGACUGAGCUAGAAAAGGGGAGUAGUUUCUCCUCUGAAUAGGCAGGCUUUGACUGCCUUUUUUCCCUUGUAGUAUCAUGGAAACAUCAUCCUCUUUCUUCUUAUGGACCCUCCGGGGGUUGUUUCCAUAAUUUCCAGACUGGAUGUGCUCAGCAACAUCUUUGAGAGCGGUAAGGUCUUCAAUAUUUCCUGACUUCAAUCCCAUCUCGGCCAUUUCUCUAUGUUUGAUCAUUUCGGAGAAUGGUUUGCCAAUGCCAGCUAAAAUUCUCUCGUAGAAGGGAGCCUCUUGAAUGUCUAUGAAGGUCAUCACCAUCUCAGACUCAGUCAUAGAGGGAAUAACUUGAGCAGCUAACCGCCUCCACCUUUGGGCAUACUCUCUGAAAGACUUACUAGCUUGUUUCUUGACCUUGGUAAUUUGGUACCGGACAGGAGCCAUUUGAGUUUGGAAACUGUACUGACUGAGGAACGCAUGCGCUAGCUCCUCCCAGCUAUGAAUUUUUGAGUUGUCCAAUCUGGUAUACCAUGAUCUAGCUUUAAUAGUCAAACUUUUUUGAAAUAGCUGCAUUCUGAGCUUUUCGUCCUCGGCAUAAGAUCCGAGUUCCCCAAUGAAGAUGUGACGGCCCCGAAUCCAGGUCCUAAAUCACCUCGGAUCCGGUUCGAUCAUUCUAUACAGCUAUUACUAUUUACGAAAGAUAUAAACAUAAAUUGUUUAUACAUUACAUUACACACUAUUCCCCAAGGUCCAGUAACCUUAACUUAAUACACAAUUCAUAGAUUUUCUAACAUAUAACAACAUUAAUAUCAAACUACACUAUUACAUUUCUAACUGUACGCGUCUACUAAAGCUGGAACUGUCUUUGACCUUUCCUUGUAUCCGACGUAUUCGCCUUAUCUGCAAUGUUUUAUCAUGAUAUAGCAAGGGUGAGCAUGAAAAUUGUCCAGCAAGUUAAAUUCAACAAUAUAACGAUAUAUCAUGAUUGAAAUGAUUUGAAUAAUUGGCUGGCUAUAAUUCAACAAUAUAAUUGUGAACCAGCAGGAACAAAUUUAUGACUGAACAAGUAUUAUACAUGAAUAAAUAUAUCUGAACCAACUAGUAAUGAAGGUGAUCAGCCUUUCAUACCUGACUUAUACAUGCAAUAUGUACAUAGUACAAUUCAUGGCAACCAGCAAUGAUUAACCAUAAGCUUAACCGAAUGAAACACUCUUAAUAGAGUUAAGUAAAAUAAACUUGCCUGAACCGUUGAUUACCGCAACACAAUUUAUAUCGCCUUAUCCGAAGACCUAAUAUUAGUAAUAUAGAUCUCCAAUAUUAGAGUAAUAUCAUCACAAUAUAAUAAUAUUAUAUAUAUACAUAGAAUAACCUAAACGCAUAGCACAUAAUCCUAUCAGUCUAUUCAACACAUAAAACUUAGCAUCAGGUCAGACUAUUUAAGUCUAAGUUGAAUCCGACAAAAUUCUAACAUUCGAGUUUAAGUUUAAUUAAACUCUGUCUAAACGCUUAACCAUUAUCUAAGAUAAUUUAUUAACAGUCAAAAUAUUUUUCGUAAGCUCGUAAUAAUUUUCAGAUAAUUAUUAUCAUUUAAUAGUAUUUUUAUUCAUUGUCUAAUAUUAUUAAUCAUGUAAUAAUAUUUUACUUGUUUCAUAAAUAAUAAAGGUCUCACACAUUUUAAGAUAUAAAUAUUUUAUAUCUCGAAGCUUAAAUAAUUUAUAUUCUUUUUUAGAAAUAUCUUUUACCUUUACUUGCAUAUUUGAGGUUUAAACAUCUAAUACAUAGCUUUUAUAUUAAAACUCAACUUAUUAUUUUAUUUCUUUAAUUUAAAUAAUUUUUUAUAUUAUUUUGUCCAUUCAUGAGUCAACCCAUACCGUUUUCUCAUAUAUACGUAUUUUAUUCUGCUAGCACAUUAGCUUUAUUUUUUGUUUUAUAAUUAUUCGCAUUUUUGCUUUAUAUAUUAAAUAUAUAUAUUCUGUUACGUAAAUCUCAACUCAAAAACCUCCUUUUGAGCCUCGGAAACCUCAAAAUAUUAUUUUUAUGAUUAAUACAAAAUUUUAAAGGUUUCUCGCCCUUUGUUGCACCACAAAAUAAUUUUACAGGCAACCUUAAUUUUUAUUUUGCUUAAAUAUGAAAUUUAUAUUUAUUACAUAUUUUUAUUGCUUUAUUUAUAACUGAAAUAAAGUUUCUCGGCAUAAAAUAUCACCUAUAGUCAAAUCUCGCCCCGUAAGAUUUUAUUAGAUUUAUUAUAACUUAUUAUUUUGCUGGAACGUGAUUCGGAACGUCGAACGUUAUAGUCGCUCGACGCGCCGACGCUCGUCGUUCGCUCAAAUUUUAGUUCUGACAUGCAUGUUCGGUUAUUUUUAAUUCUCGAAUCAUGAGUCAUAUAACAACGAAAUUUCAGGCGUAUUGUAGACCUCAUGGCAUAGUAUUUUAGAAAAAAUUCACACCGCGAAAGUGUAUCACGGAAACCAAUCAAAAUCGUGCGCGAAAAUCAUGUCAAACCACAGCACAGCAAGGCGCCGCGCGGCUGGGCAGGCGUGCGCGGGCGCUGCCUGGCUGCUGUUGCUGCCCUACCGUGCGCUUAUCAACCUAGCUACUUCGCGAUUUUCUCAUGCCUUGUUCAUUUAUCAGAAAAUUCUCAACUUUGGAUAUGUUAUACAUGGUAUACCAAAGUAUUUUUAAAAAAUAUAACCCAGUAAUUUUGGACCUCUUAGGCAGCCUAAAACAGACCCCAAAAAUGUCCACUCGUAACAACUUUCAUCUUUUUCCCAGAUUUACCCUCUUUCACUAAAAUAGUCAUAACAUUUUCAUUUUAAAACAUUUUUAGGCGAUUCUUGAGCCCACGCGAAGCUAACUUCCGGGACUACAACUCUUCCCUACUGAUGUUUUUCCAGAUUCCGAACAUAUCAGCCCAGAAAUUCCGUUCAAGUGGACUGCACCGCACUUGUUGGACAGUUUUGACACUACAACUUUGAAAUGUCAUAACUCUCUCCUCCGAUGUCGGAUUUAGUCCGUUCCGGAGUCUAUGGAAAAAUUAUUCAGUGUACUAUAACAUACCAAAAGCCCAGAAUUGUUAGGGCAUUCUAGAUAACCCCGAAAUUUCUGUUUAGAGGCAACAGUCACCAAUUAUUUUUUUUUCUAAGUUAAAAACUGUUUUGGUUCUUCUUUCUUUAGAUCAAACUUUUAACACCUAAAAUGUCUUGAUCUACACAUAACACACCAUAUAACAUGUAGAUCUAAAGUUUGUAAAGUUCAAGAAAUAAGUUCUUUAUCAAAUCAAACAAAAUAAAAUAAAUAAACUAAACUAGGAUUUUAUACCUAGAUCAUGUAGCUCUUCUCCUUCUCUUUACACAAUAUAGGAUGAAGCUAGGGAGCAUGAAAAAAAUUCUCUUCUUCUUCCUCCAUAGGGCUGCCUACUCUAUGCUCUCCUUCUCUCUUUCUUGUUUUGCUUUGAUAGCUAGUUUAGAAUGAAAGAUGAAAGAGAAAGAAAAUGAUUUUUGUGUAUGAGUAAAUAUGUAGAAAUAUUAUGUAUAUCUAAUGCUAACCGCACCAAAGGUUCCGCAAACCCUAACACUCAGACCCAUCCCAAAACCGAUUGUUAUCACCUAUCCACCCUCGAAGGGACCCAUCACUAUCAGCCUCCCUCAAUUGGAACCUUACACAGGAAAUCAUGCUGUGCCUUGGAAUUAUGGCAUCGAGGCUACUACCGAACAAGGGGAAAAGAUCGAGCCUGAGGUACUUAUGAAUGCUCCCAACAAUCUUCUCUCUCUCACUCAUCAUCUCAAAGUUGCUUGCAAGACUAGUGUAAGUGGGUGUUAAAUUCUUAGCUCAACACAUAUGGGGAGUUGGUGGAAGUUAGUAACAUUUUUUUUUUGACCAAUAAUAAAAAAAAAUAAAUUAACCCACAUGCUCCUUUCUCAUUGUAUAUCCGGUGCACCCCCCUUAUUAGCCCCCUUUUUGCUUUAAUUUUAAUGGCCAAAUUUGGGUAAUUUAGCUUCUAGAUAAUCCAUGUAAAUUGGGCCAAAGGUUGGGCUCUAAAAUAAUUCAUUUGGGCUUUCCAAUUUAAUAGAUUGGGCCAUGUCAAAUAUUAUGGGUCCAUCACACUAAUUUUUCAUUACCCUAAUUAUUUCAUUAGGGUUUCUAAUUCACUCAUUAUGAAAUUUAAAUACUUAGAUAAUAUUAUUAUGCAACCCAAUUAAGCUAGGUUUAAAAUAAUUAAUAAAUUGAGAUAAUAAAAUUAAUCUCUUAGGUUAGUAUACUAGUAUAAAAUUUAAAUACUAGCACUUUACACUUGUUAUAACCCUUAUGUUAUUUAAUUCUCAUUCCUAAUAUAUAAUAUUAGGUUAUAUAACUUCUUAUUCAUUUUAUUUAUAUAUUAAAUAAAUAUAUACAUAUUUAUAAUAUAUAUUUAUUUAAUAACUCACAUACUUCACAUAUACAAUCAUAUUCACAUAAUAUUUUCACGUAUUUCCUUAAUCCUGAAUAAUUCACCUAAAUCCUUCACAGAAUUUUGAAAUCCUCAAAAUUCCAUCUUAAAAACAUCAAACGCAUACACUAAUUUUCUAUCUAGGUUCUAAUUUUGAACUUUAAAUUAAUUAAUAAAAAUUUUAAAAAUAUUCAAAUUCUCGGGUUGUCACAGAAGACCUUCAAAUGUGUGUAAGGAUCUCCCAACCCGUCAUACUUUAUAAAGUCAGGAGUUUUGAAUUUCUCUAGAUAAUGCACUCUAGUGAAGAUAUAAAGGUCUGCAUAUGAAACACUCCCAUGUGUUCCAAUUCCUUUAAUAGACCGAAUGGUCUCUUCCAUUUGUAGGACCUUUUUCCUGAUAUCACCAGUGUCUGGAUCUUCUUUGAGAUGGGUGUUUUCAGGAAUUUUGUUGGAUGUGUCCAACUCAGGUGCGGGAAUUUCUUUAUCCGAACCAUGAUUUCCUCCAUGUGCUGAGGAUUCUGCAUGUACAGGCAUUCGUGGACCCUAAGUGGACUUAUGUAGUUCUUUACUCUGUAAUUUGGUUGCUUAGUCCUUCGAACUCCUCACGAGAGACGGGAGUGGGACUAGACUGACCAGAUGAAGCCAUGCUUGACUGUAGGCUCGUUGCCUUUUUGGAUUUGGAACGGGUAACAGAACCAAUUGUAUCUCUACAAAAAAACUUAUGUAGUUUAGUCUUAGUGAAUGUACACUACUAGAAAACAGUGAAUAUCGUAGAAAAAACGUUGUGGUUUCAAUCAGAAAAACGUCGUGGUUAAGGGUGUUGUCUAUUUGACACCCUUACACAACGUUUUUAAAACGUUGUAGUUAGACACCUUAUACAACGUUUUUUAAGAAAAAAACGUUGUAGAUUUGUUUUCCAUAAAUUAGUAGAUGCUUGAAAACAUUGUAGAAGGUAUGAUUCCACAAUAUUUUUUGGCUAAAAAUGUUGUAGUUUAAUAUAUCAGACAACAUUUAGACAUAUUAUACAACGUUUUUAAAAUGUUGUAGAUUGACUUGGAAAAAAAAAUGUUGUGGUUCACCUAUAUUACCAGUGCACCUGCAAUCUGCUAAUGCUAUGAUAUAUAGCUAAAAAAAUGUCUAAAUUCUCAUUUAAAUUUAAAACCAAAAUGUAUCAACCAUUCAAAAUACAUCCCAAUAAUAUCAUUCGUUUACAGUUUCAAAUUACUACAUCCACAAAAUAUUACAUUCCAAGAAGAUUCUCCAUAAAUUCGGUCAACUUAUUUAACAAAGCCUGUGUCAGUACUAAACCACCAAGAAGAUUCUCCAUUCCUUGAAUUUUCUUGCAGUUUUAACCGAGUAAUAAUUAAUAUCAAUUAUCUUGUUAAGAUUGGUAGUAACUAUGGCAAUAACCUGUCCCAAAAGAACAGAAGAAAACAAAAUUUGAGACUGAACUUGCACUUAGAGGCCUAGCCUUCUCAAAUAAUAUUGACUUUGAAGCAUAGUAGAUCUAGGUAACUUGGAAACUUCAUAAAUAGAACAAGUCAAACCUCUGCUAGUUUGUCAAAAUUAAAAUAAUGAUUUUUAGAACCACGGCUGUCUGCAAGCUUAGAUGGUUACGAUUCCACUGGGACCCCCUGCAAUAAACAAAAGUAAAAUACCCAAUGAGAAACCAGGAAAAAUACAAAAAGAGCAAUCUCUCAACAAAAAUGCAUACCAUCAUAACACACCUUCUCUCUAACAUAUCGUGGUAGAGCAAUUGAUGCCAGAUUACAUACAGCAGUUUCUGUUGGACUUGUAUACUCAAUAAUCUCAGUACACAAGUUAGAAGACUUGAUGGUUCCCAGAUUUUGUUGGUUGCUCUUUCUAUUGCAGGUAUCCUGGAAGGAAAUAAAAUAUGAGGAUAAGAGAGGGACAAAAUCACAAUACAAACAAAUAAUAGUAUACCAUAAUUGUUAGAUAGUUGCAUUUAAAAUCACCUUGAACAGCAUAUAAGGGGUCCCAGUUUCUAUCUGGGACUUCAGAACUUCAAACCAAAGAGUCUGCGCUUGGACAACCUUCUUGGCAACCAAAGAGCAUUUUGAAUUUGUUAGCAAUCAAUAUCCAAACCAUAUCCAUUAAAAAACACAUUUGAAUACUUGUUUGAAAAACUCAUUUGAGUGCAAGUAGAAAACAUAAUAAUAGGUCUAUAUCUACCUCUCUUUUGUAACGACCCCAAAAUCCAUACAAUUUAAAUCUCAACUUCGGCCGUUAACCAUACAUUAACAUUUCCUUCUUUCUUGCCCUGAAUCGCAACCUUUACAUUACAUCUCUUUGAUUCAAUCUUAUAUCAUUAAUCGUUACAACAAAAUGACUAUACAAAGUCUUACAUCAUAACUAAAUAUCCAUAUACAUUGGAUAGCUCAACUUAUAAUUCAACAACAUGUUACGUUCAAAAUAUGAAAUACAUUUCUCAUAAAACAUAAGUAAUCUUCGUGAAUAUAGAUCUCUAUAACUCACUUAGCACAUAUCUUUACCUUAAAAUCUUGACCUGCAAAAGUGGUUAUUUGCAAGAGUGAGCUCGACAGCCCAGCAAAGUCUAACAGUUUUCAUGCAUCACAUAGCACAUAAUAACAUGCUCGAUAUACAUCUCAUUAAAGUAACAUGGCAUACAUGCUUUUAAUUCACAUAGCAAAUAUAAAGAUUGAGUUCCUUACUCAAUCAUCAUUACUUAGCCAAAACAAUGCAGUCAUAUAUUGACUUUAACAUUUCAUGAUUUCAACAUGUAUAACAUAUCAUGCAAUUUAAAACAGUUCAUCAAGUCCACGUAGAAAAUAGGAACCGAAAGACUUGCCUUGAUCGUUGUUUACCAAUAACAGUUUAACAGCUUACAGUUAUCUGCACUUCACGUGCCCUACACAAUUAUAUAAUCAUACACAUCAACUAUUAGUCACAUAACAACACAUAGUAAUUGUAAUGUAAACUCUACUCCACAUCUCAUAAUCUUUCCUAUUAAUUAGCACACAAUGUUCAAUUAGAUUGUGUUAACUUUCAACUUAUAUCUCACUAUAUUUCAUAUUCGCAUUUCAUUCAAGUGCUUAAGUCUUGCUUAUUAGUUUUAUAUUAAAUCUAUUCCAUAUCUUAUAAUAUUCAUUUCAAUUGAAUGAAAACACUUUUUAAGUUCAUUAACACUUGGCACGGCGUUUCGACGUUCAUUCGUCACACGCCCGAUUUGCCUCUCUUGUGUAUGCUUACUAUGCUUCUAUAACUUAUCUAAUACAUUAUUUAUUAAUGUUAAGCAUCAUUAUAUUUACUAACAUACAUGUUUUAUAACUUAGGACAUCAUCUUUUAUGGUCAGGAGCACUACACAUGCAUAUGUGCAUGCCCGACGCCCUCCGAUUGCCCCCAAAAACACAACCGUCCUAAAGAUGACCAUUUUAACUACUGUUACAGACUUCAAAUUAAAACACUUAAAGUAUGAAAGUUGUAGGCCUAUUCGUCCUCGUUCCGGAUCAUCUUGAAUCAACUCAAUCGGAAUUCGUAUGAGAAAGUUAUAGUCGUUUUACUACAGGAGGCCAAAACUGUUCGACUUAGACUUUUGUUCCGGCGCCGCGGCGCGAGAACUAAGUCAUUCAGUGGCGCCGCAACGCGAGAUUGGUGCUGGGGCACGAAUUUCAGCGCUGGGGCAUGAACUUCUGGCGCUAAGGCGCGAAUUUCAGCGCUGGGGCUCCAUUUUUGGCGCUGGGGUACCGAAAACUAACAGAACGCAGCCCACGAAGAACAGAACAACUAAAUUUCUGUCUAUAACUUAAUUUCUAACACUAAUUAACAUGUAUAAUUUAUGUCAAUUACACAUAUACACAUUACCCAACAUGCAUAUACUAAUUUAAACUACUAAACAACAAUCACAGAAAACUUAAUUCCUUGAAAACACUGUUUUCAACCAAAACACCAUUACCGAUGUUUGUUUACACAGUGAACAUGGUAAACAUAAUUUAUAAACCAAUUUGAUUCCUUUGAAUUAUGUUUCUCUGAAUUUCUUACCCCGUUAUCAUAUACAAGGUUCAAUUUCAUAACUUCACAAUUAACAUACACUAAUUUUGUUAUCUUACAAAAAUCAUAUUCAUGCAUAUGUGUUCACUAUAAAACCAAUUCCCCUUACUUGUAUACAUAAAUUAGCAUACAAUCUUGUCUAUACGCUAAACAUACAAUCAUAUAUAUAUAUAUGCUAGUAUAACACUUACAAAAACAUAGUUUUACAAGAAUUUUGUAAAAAUCUUCUACAUAGUGAAAAAGAAAACACAAAGACAUAUAAAUUAUAUGUGUAUCUAGUAUUAAGGUCAUAGACAUACCUUUUGUUGUUAAGAAAUUUGUGUUAAACUCUUAUAAUAGCUUGAAGAACUCUGCUCUUGUUGCUUCUCUUUCUCAGACUCUCUCAAAACUCUCCUGUCUCUAAGUUUUUCUCUGACAAAACUUCUUCUCUUUUCUUACUUAGGCUUUAGCCAAAUAGAAUAUACGUAAAAUAAAAACACAAACAACGUACGAUUUUUAAAACGUCUAAACCGACGCUAUACUUAAUAUACUAAUAAAUUAUCAGUUACCAAAAUAAUAUAUAUAUUAUAUUUAUAUUUUGUUUAAUUUAAUUUAUAUUACUAAUAAAUCAAAUUUAAAAAUUCAAAAGCCAUAGGGCUUUGUUUGGAAAAAUUAUUUAAAAAUUAAAGACUUAAUAUUUUUAAGCCUUGUUUGGCAAAACUAAAUUAAACUCCUUUAAUUUAUUUUAAUAACCACUUAUAAUAAAGUUAUUUGUCACACUUCUAAUUAAUUAAGUUUUCAUACUUAAUUUAAUUAAUUCUAAUAACAAUUCAUUGCAUAAUAUAAUAAUUUAUUUGAUCAUUAUAAACUCUCUAACUUAAUUAUUAAAUUAAAUUAGAUUACUAUUUCAAAAUAAUUACUUUCCUUAACUCAUUAAUUAUUUAUUAAACAAAUAAAUAAUCAAAUCAAUUAAACAAAUACUUAUUCAACGAUAAACACAACCAUUAAAUAUUUAUAUAAUUCAAUAAAUAUUUAAAUAUUUAAUUAAAAAAUCUGGGUUGUUACAUCUUUCAUAUUGGGUGUACAUGUUUUCAAACUCUUGACCCCAACAAUCAGCCAAUCCUGGAGCCUCAUUUGGACAUAACAAGGACUGUUAACGCCUGAUUUUGUACGCCUGACGAAAUCACCAAAAUAGCAGGCCAAAAUAGCACCAACGGUUGAUGGAGUAAUUGUUGUGAAAUCAAACUCACGAAAUACACUCACAUAAACAUAAAUAAAGAAAUAUAAAGUAUGAACACAAGAAUUUACGUGAAAACCCAAUUGGGGAAAAACCACGGAGAGAGAGAGAGAGAGUAAUCCACUAUAAUAAUAUUGAGAGUACAAGUUGUGUAUUUGUGUUGUAUCUCUUGUGUCAUAUGAUAUUCUCUUCUAUUGUGUUUUUUUCUUUAACCCUAGCUUGUAACCGUAUAUAUAGAUGUAACCAAAAAUUUGCAUCCAACUAGGAGAAGGAUUCCUUAUCCCUCCAAAUAAAGAAAUACAAUCAUAUUUUAAUAAGGACUCUUCCACUGUCAUAAUAAAUACAUAUGGGCCAUCACCAGAUCCGGACCAUUAAAUAGAUUGGGCUGCACCAUGGCUAGACCCAAAUAAUCACACUCCAACAUUGCCCCCCAGUCUCUUAUUUAUAAACAACUUAUAAAUGAGAGAGUAUACAAAUUUAUCCCAACAAAACGACUAUAUUUGUCGAAGACAGAAUAUCACACCUGAACUCCAUGUGCCAAACUAAAAUUGUUGGCUCCCAAUAUCGCUGCCCCACUCCUCUUGUUCACUCAUAAGAUAGAUAAACAAUUUCCCUUAUUACUACCGAAGAAUAAAGAACCAACCUUAUCACAACCGAAUAUAUAGAGAACCAACCUUAUCACAACCAAAUAUAUAAAGAACCAACCUUAUCACAACCGAAUAUAUAUAGAGAACCAACCUUAUCACAACCGAACCAACCUUAUCACAACCGAAGAUAUAAAGAACCAACCUUAUAUCAACCGAACCAACCUUAUCACUACCGAAGACAGAUAAAUAACCCACCGAACACAUCCAACCGAACACCAAUUAUAAAGUUCGUUCCGAGGAACUAAACGUAUUCGUUCUGAAGAACCGUAUAAAUGUUUAUUUUGACCGUUUGGGAAGACGUUGGUCCGUCCCGAAGGAUAUUGUCCGAUCGAGAUGAUGAUGGUCCGUCCCGAAGGAACUUAUCCGUUCGAGAGGACGUCGGUCCGUCCAGAAGGAAGUAAUCCGUUCAGGAGGACGAUGGUCCGUCCCAAAUGAUAUUUGAUCGUUCGGGAGGACGUUGGUUCGUCCCGAAGGAUGUGAUCCAUUCGGGAGGACGAUGGUCCGUCCGGAAGGAAGUUAUCCGUUCGAGAGGACGUUGGUCCGUCCCGAAGGAAGUUAUCCGUUCGAGAGGACGCCGGUCCGUCCCGAAGGAAGUAAUCAAUUCGGGAGGACGAUGGUUCGUCCCAAAGGAUGUUUGACCGUUCGGGAUGACAAUGGUCCGUCCCAAAGGAUGUUUGACCGUUCGGGAGGACGAUGGUCCGUCCCAAAGGAUGUGAUCCGUUCGGGAGGACGAUGGUCCGUCCCAAAGAAAGUCAUCCAUUUGGGAGAACGUUGAUUCCGUCCCGAAGGAAGUUUGCCCGACCUUAUACCGCCAUCCGACCUUUUAUCCCCAAAUGUAGACAGUCGAAGACAUGAUGAAGCCGAUGUGAUAUAGUCCGAGGCAAAUUGCAAUUAUCCGAAGAGGACUAUUGUUGCCCGAAUGUCACGGGAGAGCCGCCAAAAGUCCAACAAAGUACAAACUUUAAUUGCCCCUCAGUCUCUUAUUUAUAAGGAAUUUAUAAAUAAGAGAGUAUUCAAAAAGUCUCUUCGGGAUCUUUAUCCUCGGAAUUUUUAUCAUCGGGAUUUAUAUCCUCGGGAUUUUUAUCCUCCGAAUAUAUAUCCUCAGGAUUUUUAUCCGUAGAAUGUUCAUCCUUUCGGGAGAUCAAAGCCUUCUCGAAGGACGUUUGUCCGACCUUAUAACCCCUCCGACCUUAUGCCGCCAUAAUAUCCGUCCCGACCCCUGUGGGAGGCUUUGAUCAGACUUUAUAUCUGCCAAAAGUAAACAGCCGAAGAUAUGAUGAAACCGGUGUGGCCUGAAGAGGAAUCGCCAAAGAGAUUGCCGAAGUGGUCCGAACCUAUCUUCAUCUGUUCCCAUGUGGUCGGCAGAUGUUGAUAGUGACAAAGGACAAUGAAACCUUCUAUUUAAUAUGUGGAGGUGAUUGCUCGCUCCGGCCCCUCCAUCUGUGAAAAUUAAGAGCCACACAUAUUUUAUCUGAGGCUUGUUAUUCUCCCGACGAUCAGUGUUGAUUCCAGGUGCUUGUUUUAUUUUACUGAAGCCGAUGGGCUUGGAUUGCCUUGGUUGGCUUCGAGAAACAUAUAGAAGAUGUUGCUGACUCAUGACAUGAUAGGCCCACACAAAUUAUUGUCGCUUAUGUGGCAACCCUUUUAGAAAGUUAGCAGCAAUGCAUCUUUUACUCAGCUGAAUCAAUAAUCAAAGUGAUUAAUGCUUUGAUUUAAUAUAAUAUAACAUGAAUAGUAUCUCCACCUUUUUUGAUAUAAACGAUGUAACGUGUAAAGUAAAAAAAAUACUCGGUUACAAUCAUUUAUCUCAUUUGGUGAAUCGAUGAUUUUAAAUCGACACUAGAACAAGUGUCUUGGUUCCCACAGACGACGCCAAUGUUAACACCUGAUUUUGUACGCCUGACGAAAUCACCAAAACAGCAGGCCAAAAUAGUGUCAACGGUUGAUGGAGUAAUUGUUGUGAAAUCAAACUCACGAAAUACACUCACAUAAACAUAAAUAAAGAAAUAUAAAAUAUGAACACAAAAAUUUACGUGGAAACCCAAUUGGGGAAAAAACAGAAAGAGAGAGUAAUCCACUAUAAUAAUAUUGAGAGUACAAGUUGUGUAUUUGUGUUGUAUCUCUUGUGUCAUAUGAUAUUCUCUUCUAUUGUGUUUUUUCCUUUAACCCUAGCUUGUAACCGUAUAUAUAGAUGUAACCAAAAACCUACAUCUAACUAGGAGAAGGAUUCCUUAUCCCUCCAAAUAAGGAAAUACAAUCCUAUUUUAAUAAGGACUCUUUCACUGUCAUAAUAAAUACAUAAGGGCCAUCACCAGAUCCGGACCAUUAAAUAAAUUGGACUGCACCAUGACUAGACCCAAAUAAUCACACUCUAACAAGACCAUUCUCCAUUGCUUUGGGCCCUUUCCAUAAAGAGAUCAGGAACAUCUAAAUUUGAAUGAUAUGUUGAAUGAUCAGGUCCAAUCGGGGGGCAUUAAAAAAAUUAGAAGAAAUAACAUAAAACAAUUAAAGAGACGAAAAGACUCACAAUUUCGAUUACAGUAUUAUCUUUCAAAACUUGGGCUAAUUUAGUAACCCCUUUGGUGUGAAUUUCAUUUCCCCCCCCUGUAAUCCUCAUCAUACCAUUACAAAUGGUAAGUCUAAUACCAUUUUCGAUAUUGAAUGUUUCAAUGAGUAUGAACGCAACGAAAAACUUUCUUCCUACCAGAUCGAUGUUUGUUAUUGUGCGGUUCUCCUUCAAAGCCUCCGCUACUUUUCCAGCUCCCUGAUAAUUCCAGGAGUCAAAAAAAUAAUGACAUUGAAAGAAGUAAAAAAAAAUCAUUGAGUCUGUGAACAAGUCCAAAGUUGAUCUUCCAUGUAGGUUAACCAUGUCUAUACAUAGGUCACCAAAUUCACACAUUUUCCACUGUCUACCAACAGAAAAUAUAUUAAAAAAGAAAAGAAAAAAGGAAAGGUAAGACUGUAAGAGCAUUAAAUAACCAUCAUUUCUUUCUUGUCGUCCACAUCAGAACUUUUUUAAACACACUGGUCCUUUCGUAAAGACCACGACCAACAAAAUAUCGCUCCUGGUAAUGUCAAAGAAAUUAAUAGGUUGUAUACUGCUUAAAGCAUUAGAACAAAUACAUCCCGUAAGUAAAAUUAAUGAUAACAACCAGACCAAAUACAUCUUAGCAUAUAAACUUCAUUAUGCUAAACAGGGAUAACAACCAGACCAAGAUCAUGUUUUUAGUACAUGCAUGUGCAUUGCAAGUUCAGUAGAUGAAAUGCGAGUUACUUGCUCCAUAAAAGUAUUACCACCAAGUACAAAAUUGUUAUUUCCAAAGUUAAAAAAGUACUUAAAUUCAAGUCACAAUCUCAAUUUUAGGAUUUUGUAAAGUAACUAGGAUCAAAGUCAAUUUGGGAAUCUUUUUGAGGAAUGAAGAGAGUACAAUCUCAAUUUGGGAAUACUUGCCAAUAUACUCAACCUUAAUUCACUAAUCAACCUUCUGCCAGACUUGCUUCCCUUUUGACCUGCUUUCUCAGCUGAUCUAAAAUUAAUAUACAACGCCCUUUCAGUCACAAGGGAAUCUCUCUGAUGGCAAGUGUAUUAGUGAACACCUUGUCAUGUAAAGUCCUGCUUCUCUAAAUCUACAGAAGUAACCAAAAAGUAUUUGCUUUCUCAGUUCAAAAUAUAAGGCAAAAAAACGUAACUGGAUCCUAAAUUCUGAGACAUUAUGACAACAUGGAAAAUUGAUCAUUGUACAGUUCUGUGUAGAAUGUUUGACGCUCAACAGCACCUUCCUAUGAAUCAACUAUUAACUGAAUUCCUGAAUCAUGAUCAAUCUUCAUGUUCAUUUUCACCUUCAGAAUCUGCAUAAAUAGAAAAGUAAGUCCAAUUAUAUAUCAGUUACAACGGGAGGUUCUGACUGAAGAUGCUAGUGGUCUGAAUUAUAUGCAAGAGGUUGCUGUCAUAUUAGAUCACUUGGCGAGUGCACUUUUUGAUGAACCACAAGUAUAACCCAUACUAAAUAUGAUUAGUCAUGAAUCCAUUAACAGGUUCUCAGGUUUACAGUAAAUUAAAAGUUAUAUAGAGCAUAAACUUCAUCCACUGGAACAAAGAAGUAAUAGAAUUCAUUCAAAACAAAUGCAACCAUCAGUUGAGUAGUGACGAAUUAUUUACAGAAAACCUAUGAUGCCCUUAUUAUACUUAUGGCUUGGAAAAAUGAAUAAACACAAUACCAGAGCACAUUGAACAAUAAUGCUGCAAAAUUAAAAGAAUAAGUACAUUUGUUUACUUUAACUGGUACUGAUUUGCUACACUAAUGCUUUCCUCUUAUUUUUCCCCCUUUGUGUGGGUUUUUGUUUUGUUUUGUUGGGGGUGGGGGGAAGGUAAAGUAGACUACUGCCCUAAAGACUGUCACAAGCAGUGAUGUGACUUGCAAGUAUGCCUAAAGCAAGUUCCCUCACAGCAUAACUUUGUUAACAAUCAUCAUCCAAUGUGUUAUGCAUACAUUCACAUUUCAAACCGUUCUAAGUCCCUUGUUUUGACUUACCAGAUCGAACAUCAUCACUAAGUUGGGGCGGCUAUACCAUAGCCAACAACAACAAUGCACAUCAAUAAUAAAAAAUCAAAAUAAAUAAAACUAAUUAAAUGAGAAGUUUCAAGGCUAUUCUGCUUAUACUUUGUCAAAAUGGACCACCUCUUUUUUGACAUUUACAUUACGUGAACAUAGUAUGUUCAUCAGCAAAUUAAACAGCAUCAGAAAUCCAGUUGAGUCAACUAGCCAAACCUAUUUUCAUUCAACUGUAUAAUGAGCAGAAACGUGCACCUAGACAGCAUACUGACAAAUACUCUACUCCAUGCCCACUAAGAAAAAGAGACAUGAUUUAUACAACUUCAUGACGAUAACUGCAUCCAAAUAUACAAAUAUAAGAACCAUUACAGGACUAGUAUAUCAGAAAAAAAUGGUAAGAACUGAAAUCCAACAAACAACCAUAUGCUAUUAUCAAAAACAAAAAAUCAAAUGUUUGAUGAAAAGUGAGAUGAGCCCUAUUGAACUAAUGGAUAAACAAAUCAAGAAACCUAAGUGAAGAUUAACGGUUGACAGUUAACAUAAUUCCCUUUACUUAGGACCCUAUGCUAUUCUCAAAAAACAAAAAAUCAACACAUUCAAAACUGAUUUAGUCUUCAAAAAGUCCUUCCCUAACUGUUAUGAACAAUUGCAAUCCAAACAAAUGCUCAAAUUUGAACAAUAAAUACGCAUUUACCGGAAAGUGUCAUUGAUGAUACCUGAAAGUCCGAAGUAAGUUGAAGUUUUUGGUUCUCAAAAUAAUAUUGUUUGAAUUGAUCUUCAAGCCCUAGGGUUUGAUGUAUAUGAUAAGCUCUAUAUAAUGGAGUCAAAUCAAAUUCAUCAGCAAUUCAUGUGAAUCCUUCAUCAUAUUCUUCUUCUAAAGCAUAAAUACAUUCUCGUAAACUUAGUUGACUCUGUUCUUCGGCUUGCCUUUGCUUCAUACGCAUCUCCUCUUCUCUCUGCCGCGAUGCCAAGGCUUGUCCGAUCGCUAGUUGGCCAAGGUUUCGACUCACUAUACGGAUAUCAACAAGCCAUACUCCGAACUCUUUGUUGAUUCGUCGCUCGAUGUGCGACCGGAUCGCCGAGAUCUGCUUCUCGAGCAUCCGUUGAAGCGUGGAUGACGGCGUUCUGUUGAAAAAAUCAGUCUAUCGAUUCCAGACACUUUAAGGCCAUGAAGAAGUUGUUUUGCGAGAUAUGAAGAUUUGCUCGGGAGCAAAGCUCCAUUAAUUGAACACAUAUUCGGCAAAUCUUCAAACCCCAGGGCUUGAAGAUUUGCCAGAGUUAUGUUUAGGCAUUUGUUUCGAGCUUCGACGAAGGAAUCGAGAGAGGUUAACAACCAGAGUUACGUAUGUCUUUUAAUUUUAAGUUUUCGUUUGAGCGCGUUUUUCUCUCCGUGUUUUUUACAUAGAUAACGUUUUUUUAAAAAAAUGUUAUCUAGUUAAAACCAAAAAAUGUCCUUUUAAAUAGAUAACGUUUUUUCAUAUAUAUCUACAACAUUUUGUUAAAAAACGUUGUGAAAAAAAUACUACAACGUUUUUUUUAAAUGUUGUGGUUUAAGUGUUGUCUAUUUACUACUUUGUACUAGUGGUAGAAAUAUUAUAUGAUGUGUCCGUUUAGGAGUAUUAUCCUGCGAAACGGAUGUCAGUUUGACAAGAUAAUACGUCAUGUUUUGAUAUAAAGGGAAUGCACGUACACAUUUUCCUUAUAUUUUCCAUUACAUUGAGAUUGACAUGGAAAUGAAAUUACAAGUAAUUUGAAUUUACAAGUAAUUGAAAUGUGAAAGCAUGAAGAGACUUUCCUUCACGUUUGGUUAAUCAGAGGUUGACCUAUCUUAGGCUACUCUCACGGCUUUUUGGCAUGAAGGUUCUUAAAUCAUCGCAAUUUACUCGACGGGAAGUUAAUCCGGUCUUUCAGCUGGAGCAAAUUUGGGUGGUGCCUUUCCUGAGCCUCGUUGGAAUUAGUCUUCCUACGAGUCCAGUAAUCAAACAUCGACAGGAUAGCCUCCUGGUGGAGGAACCACACAACAUGCAUUCACAUACAACGUGUCUCAUCGUAUGGAAAUGAUGACAUGUGCGAAGCACUAAUUUCACAAGCAGAUAUGGUGCAAAACACUAAGUACAAUAUGUAAAUGCAUUCGUACACAUUCAUUCAAAUGUAAUAGCGACUUAAGCCCUCUUACUAGAUGUCCCCAGUAGAGUCGCCACCUGUCGACGUCGGAAUUUUAUUUGUCCCUUUUCUAUUCUUGUCUUUUGGUGUUCUCAUGUUAUGUGAGAUUUGUUUGAAAAAAAUAAGUUGUGAAAAGGUCCGACAUGUAUAUGUCGACGAUUGGAUUGAAAGAGUCGCCGGUUGGUAUUUUUAAAUGGUUGCGCCAACUCAACCGAGAAAAGGUUUGCACAUUUACCUAGUGGUAUGACACUAUUUAAUUGGUCUGUGAAAUCGAGAUUUGUUAAGGUCCGGGGGCUUGAUUAUGCGAAGGGAAGGUUUUAGGCACCCCCCGACAUCCGUGUUACCAGGGUGAUCACCACUUUUCAAUUUAAACCAUUAUCUGAAUGUGUGUGUGUGUGUGUAGAUUAAUGUGUAAUUAUUUGGAAGUAGUGUUAUGCCUCGUUUGCACCUAUAUACAAAGGGUUUGAAUUUUGUAUAAAAGUUUAGUUUUAACAAGAUAUAGCAAUUGAGGCCUUUGAUACUUCCAUUUUAUUAUGUGUUCGGCUUAGUUGCUUUUAUUUUCGAGAUGUGAAGCAUCUUCGAGAAAACCAGAUAAAAAGUAGUGUUGAAUUCCUUGUGGGCAUGAGAGCCGUCUAUGGACAUUCAAACACCGCGAAUAAUUUACAAGCUAUGUAGAGCUAAAAAUGUCCAUCAUGGGAACCGAAUCUAGAUUCAGUAGACUGAAUCUGUGCUCACAUGAUUCCUAGGCUCACAUGAUACUGCAAUUUGUAUGGAAAGCAAUAAGUAGUUAUAUAUAUAAAAGCUGUAAAUUUAUAUACACAGGCAUGAUCAACCACCACGAAGCACCUCNNNNNNNNNNNNNNNNNNNNNNNNNNNNNNNNNNNNNNNNNNNNNNNNNNNNNNNNNNNNNNNNNNNNNNNNNNNNNNNNNNNNNNNNNNNNNNNNNNNNAUAUAUAUAUAUAUAUAUAUAUAUAUAUAUAUAUAUAUAUAUAUAUAAGUAUUUACACAUAUAUAUAUAUAAGCAAUAAACCACUGACCGACGGUCCGGGCAGACACACACACGCGACUCUCAACGUGAAUAAUAGUGUGUGCAAGAAAUGAAGAAAAGGCUUUAAAUAAAGUAAGAAGGCUUAUAGUGGACUGCUAAAGAAGACUUCAAUAACUUUAAAUGGAUGAACACUCAGUUCCCACCGGUAAAAAGUAGCCAAAUAUAAGCUUACAAGUAUUUGAAAUGAGAAAGCACUCAAUUUAUAGUGUGUACAGAGCAAAUUGGACAGGGCUUCCUCGACAUUUUCUUAUGCAAAAUGGCCACCCUAAGCCCUCUAUUUAUAGAGGGGGGAGCCGCAGGUGUACCUGCGGAAGCUGCAGAUGUACUUGCGGCUGCCCGGGGUGCCCCGGGCUCCGCGGGUCCCACUGUCUUGAAGUACGUGCACGCGUGCAACUUGAUGUCCGCUCGAACUUUCAGAACUUCAAUCCGGGAAUCCGAUCGAGGUGUAUAAGACCUUUUUUGGCAUGCUGUUGUUGAGAGCUACAUAAUGACAUGAGAUUAGAGGUUGUACAAAGUCAGGAAGAUGGGACCAUACCCAAGUCUUUAGGCUUCAAAUUCUAUCCGGUGUGCUGUCCUGUGUAGUAGUCACUUGAGAUUGGAGUUAUUGGUUCUUGUAGGACAUUCCUUUAUGUAAUGUAUGUUGAAAUGUUGUUGAGACGGCGCCAUGUGGGAUCGAGGUGGGAAAAUGACGAUUUUCCCCCUCACCGGGGUUAUCUCCAGUUUGGGCUGAUUUAGCAGUCGUUACUCAGGGCUAUCUCUAAGAUUGGGCUACUGCAAGUGCUAAAUGUCCUCAGGGUUGUCUCUGAGGUGUGCCUGUCCUCCCGAGGUUAUCUCCGGGUUUGGGAGCUAAGUGCCUCGGGGCUAUCAUCGAGUGUUGAAGCUGACCGCAGGGAUUCAAAACAAGCAUUUUCGGGGUUAUCUCCAGAACUGCAAUUGCAUGCCUCGGGGUUGUCUCUGAGGUUUGAACUGUAUCUCCCAGGGUUGUCUCCUGGAUUUGAAAUGAAGAUCUCGGGGUUGUCUUCGAGGUUGAAACUGAAACUCCCGGGGUUGUCUCCAGGACUGGACUGAAUAUCUCGGGGUUAUCUCCGAGAUGGUACACUUAGUAUCCUGGGGUUGUUUUCGGGACUGUGUUGAAUAUCUUAGGGUUGUCUCCGAGAUGUUGGAACUGAGUAUCUCAAGGUUGUCUCUGGGACUGUGCUGAAUUAACUUCCACGGUUAUCUCUGGAAGACGGUUUUGCCCUCUUGCAAAGUCAGUAACAGGAAUUCAAAAUGUCAAGUGUCUAUAGUUAGUAUAUCAAGAUACGAAAACAAUGUAGUUGGAAGGUGUAAUUUGGUUAAGAAAAAAAGAUUUGGCGAUUGAAUUCGCUAAAAGUAUUGAAAUAUAAAGAAAUUGGCAAAAACAUGAUUUUAAUCCUUUCAAUUUGGUUAUGUAAGUUGUUUUAGGUAUUAGAAUGCUUGAUUGUAUAUGCUAUAAGGCUUUAGUUAAGUUUGUAGUGUGUGGGUUUGUUCAUGUUAUUGCGAAAUUAGAAUUUUUGGCCUAGAACAUAGUCUGAAUUCGUGUUCUACAAAACUGAUUCUGGUGCUGGGCGUGGGCGCGCUGCCGUGCGGGCGCGCCAGAUUCAAAGGUAACCAUGGUGCGGUCGUGCCAGUGGUCUAUCAGACCCAGUAAUGAACUGUUAACAUCAUAGCUUAAAGAAUGUUAACUUAACAUAUUUUGAUGAUUGCAAAAGGACCUAAAACAUGUUAUAAAACCUAAUAACAUAUUGUAAUCACAAUGUUGAAACUAAAAGAUUAUGAAUUAGUAAGUUGUGAAAGUUUGUAACGUGAUGUCAUGAGAAUUUGUGUUGAUAUGCAAUCACCAUGUCAGGUACUAUUAUAUAAUUAGGAGUGCAGAUUUAUGGUACUUGAAUUAUUAAAAUAAUCAGUUCUUAAGUUAGAGACUAUAGACUUGACUAAAAUGAGAAAUGAACCCAUGAAGUUAAUGUUAACAUAACUAAUUGGUAUUGUGAUUAUAAUGGUAUAUGCAGGGUAAUUGGAAAACUUUUAUUAUACUUGUGUAGCUUACGUAUGAGGCAAGUUCCCAAACUUCAUUCUCUUUAUAAUGAAUGCAAGUUUCAUAACUAUGUUUACCUUUAAUUGUCAAGCAAGCUUUCUAACCCUAAUUUAUCAAUAUGCAAGUUCCUAAUUCUUAUAUUAAAGUUGAGCAAGCUUAUUGAUUCCAUCUUGUUUAUGAUGAUACAAGCUCUUGUAUUCUAAUUCUUUACAUUGAAUAAGUUUCACAAUCCUAACUCUCGUUCUUGCUAUUCAAAGCAUAUACUGUUUAACUUCAUUGUUCCAAAUGAGAUUUGGUAACUCUUUUGGAUGUAACACUUUUCAUAUAUACCAUGUCCAUUCAAUUGUAUAUUGUCAUUAUUCGAUCUUUGACUUAAGUAUCAUUUUUCAAUUCUAUAUUAUUGUGUUGAACCUUCGAAUAACAAGUAAGCUCUUAUUGAUUGGACAAAUCUGUAAUUGAAUAGUGUUCUAAAAUUCUAGAACCGCUGAUAAGUUAGUUCCAAACUAAACUUUUUUUAGUGCAGAAAUUCUAAAGUCAAACUGAGAUGAACAACCCUAGUAUAGGGGAUUUUGUACGCGUUAGCGUUUAGAUGUUUGUUCACAAUACAUGGUACGAAGGGCUAAUCCCCCUAAGUACAAAAGUAAAAGUCUGUAUAGUCUAAUGACUGUUAAAGGUUGAAGUAGAAAUACUUAAUAACUUCAGGACAUAGUUCAUAGUCUUAAAGACCCUCAGAUAUAAACCUCAAACUUGUUUACUAGUUUUGUCUCAAAGAACAAGUUCUUAUUUAAUCAGUAUUCAUUUCUUACUCUUAUGUUACUGCUAUUAUCACUCUUUAUAUCAGUGAGCAAUUGUUUGCUCACUCUUGCAUUUAAUACUACAGAUAAAGUUAAGAAAUUUGAUGAGGACGUUCUAGCAAAGGAAAGGGCAAGAUGUCCAAGUGAUGAAGAGUUAUUUGAAUUUACUUAACUUAAAUUAUGUCAUAAGACUUAUGUUAUUAUGUGAUAUAUUCCGCAGACUUAUGUAAUAAUUAAAGGUUAGAUUACCUGAUAAUGUUUUAAGUUGAUGUAACCCUUUAAUGGGAAGGUUAUUUAUUUAAGUUAUGUCUUUAUCCUUGUUUAUGGGUAGUUAGAUGUAAAUAUUUUAGAAAGUGAGCACCAAAUCCUAUGGGAAUGAAGUACUCGGAUUUGGGAGUGUCACAUGUUGGUAUCAAAGCUUUAGGUUAUGAACCUUAGGUGGGGAAAAACCUUAGAAAGUAACCUUUAAUGAGAUAGAAAACAUAGUGGUGACAAACUCUUAUCGAGUUUUAAGGAAUGAAUUGAAGAAAUUCAUUAAAGAUAAGCAAUAAAAGACUUUAUGUGCUAUGUGUUAAUAACUUAUGUACUCGCGAGUAUCGAAGAGUAUCACGUGAUAAGUAAAACUUAAAAAUAUUUUGUUGUUAGGAUGUUUAACGUUGAAGGAUCCAGUCAAGCUAGGGAAGUGAUACCUCAGGUACCUAGAGAUGAGGAAUCCCAAGAUGUACAUGUGGUUCGAGAACAGUUGAUUCAGAGGGAGCCUUCUCUCUUGGUUGUUGAGGAAAAACAGGAGGAUGAACCCGUGUCUGAUCCUGAGGAGGAGAACUCUGAGGAGAUAGAGGUGGAGGAUGAGGAAAAGGACCCUGUGGAGUUUCCACCAAACUCUAUAUCAGCUGAGAUGUAUGAUGAGCUAUACGACCAUAAUAUAGAAUUGCAGGAUAAGGUUGAGGAGCUGAAGGAGUUAGCUGAGAAGAGUCAGGCUACUAUAGAGCAGAAGGAUGCGGAGAUUCAGGAACUCAACUCACGUCUUGGAAACACGGAGUGGAACCUAGUUCACAUAGAGGGACAUCAAGAGGAGCUGUUGGCUGAGAAUGAGAAGAUGAAGAUUGAAGUGGAAAAGCUGAAAGACGACUUGAACGAGGAGUCAGCUAAGCGUGCAAGAGCAGAGGACGCUUGGAUGAAAGCUACUCAGCGUGCAGAUCGUGCUGAAGCUAAGGUUCAAACGAAGAAGGCUAAGAUGAACAAAAUGGAUCUUGCCUUUCAUUCUGCGAUCGAUAGGGCCCAUGAUCGAGUCUUUUAUUACCCACCUUAAUUUGAAGACUUGUCGUGGUUUGUGACGGAUCGUAGAAUGGCAUAUUAUAUUAUGGAGGAGGAGCGUAGAGAAGCCUCUCGACGUCUUAAUAUGCCGAGAUAGGAAUAAUAAUAAUAAUAAUAAUAAUAAUAAUAAUAAUAAUAAUAAUAAUAAUAAUAAUAAUAAUAAUAAUAAUAAUAAUAAUAAUAAUAAUAAUAAUAAUAUGUGAUGAAGUAUAUGAAUAAAUAAAUUGUAAAUUCCUUAUUUUAAGAUAAAUAAAGGGGUAGUAUGAGUAUGUAAUCCUGAAACUUGUCUAGUUCAGGAAAGUGGAUGUUAAUAGCAGAGAUGCUAUCCUUAUUAUGUUUGGAAAGUUAUGAAUUAAUAAAAAUAUCGAAGUUUAUUGAAAUGUUAUGUGUUAAGAUUUAAUCUUAGAAUGUUUAAAGUUAAACUUUAAAAUAUUCAAGGAAUUGAAUAAUAAACUAAUAAGUGUAAAUUUUAACAGAAAAUGUCUCCUAGAAGAAGAUAACCACGUCAACAACCACCUCCUGAGGGGUCUACUAAAAAUAACAAUAGCGAGGCCAAUGUUAACCCGGUUCAGCAAUUGGUGACUUUGUUAACGGGAGCACUUGCGAAUCAGCCGCAAGCUCAAGCUACAACUUUCAAGGACUUCAAAGUGGUUGGACCGUGAUAAGUGGAUUUUAUAUCCGCGAAUUGAUGUCCAUUUUAAGCAUAAUCGUUGUUAAUUCUUUGCAUUCAUAUUAAUUCUUACUUGUUUCUUGUUAUUUCAUGUGUAGGGUAGUUGGUGUGGCGAAUGAUGAUAAAAGGAAGCAUUUGGAGCACAAUUGAAGCAAGUUUGGAAAAUGGCCAUAUUCAGUUAACAGGAGCCAUGCCCGCCAGGGUGAGCCACUUUUGCCUAUACACCCCCGCCGGGGCGGGGGUCCUGAAUUCUGGGCAGUCCUAGCGUGCUUCGAACUCUGCUGGAAGAUGGACUUGAGGACUUGGCAUGGAACUUGGACUCUAUAUCGCAUGGGAUUUCG
rnacentral:lncRNA from 1 species